rnacentral:lncRNA from 1 species
AUGUACUCAAGGGUAUCUGCAGGAAGAAGACAGACACUGAGGAGGAGGAGGAUCACCAAGAGUUGGCCCGCUACCAUCUGCAUUUAUACCACACUCUUGAAGGAUGCAAGAGUCUCUAUUCAGCUUGGAAGAGGAGAGGAACAGCGCAGAAGACUAGCACUCAAAUCCAGCACUUCUGGUGCACGACCACAAUCAUAGCCUGCCCUCUCAGGGCGAAGCCUGUCGAUUGCUCCUGCCAGACGCCAUUCUUGAGUUUCUAAAUUAGGACCGUGGACUUCUCUGGUUUCAGCUGUCCAAGCCAAUUUCUGUUUGUCGACCUCUUGCUCGAAAUUUUUGCUGCCCCCUGGUGUUGGGAGAAGAGCAUUGGGUUCUGUAGCUGCUGAUUGACCACUAGAGGGCAGAAGCACCCCGGGCUCCAAGGCACUUGCUGGUUUGCAGUCACCUACAGGCACUUGGAAUCCUGAGAGAAUUCAUCGGUCUUAUUUUAAAUUCAGCCAGAAGAGGCAGAGCGCUUUCCACAAAAGUAAGGAGGGAAAAUUCAUUUGAAAUUGACAUGCCCACCAAUGUCUGCUGGGGAAUGCGAAAGAAAAGAUUAGAGGACAAACUUUUGAAAUGUUUAGGCAGAAAAAGAUCAACAGCCAGUGAUACAGCUACCACGG